rnacentral:rRNA from 1 species
AUGUAUGACUGCCCUGAUAGCAUUGGUGACAUGACUAGCCUCACCCAGAUUGUGAUGGAUAGUGCAACUCCUGCUUUACUUGAAAAGGUUACAGCCAUUCGAAAGCGUCUAAAUCUUGUGGGCAAGGUAGAGCAUCAUGUACAUGAGAUAGAGAGUAGAGGAUGCAGCAGUAUAGUGGAUCUUGUGGGAUUGACUUGUUCAGAACUGAUACUUGUAGACCUUCAGAAUGUCAAGCGUCCGGGAGAUGCAGAGAGAGUCAAACUGCAUGAUAAAUCAGAUACUCGAGUUCUAAAACUUCUAUGGAAAAACAAAGAAGGUAAAUCUGUGCUGGAUAGGCUUGUACCUCCUCAGUCUCUAGAAAAUCUUUUGCUAGAUGGGUAUAGGAGCAAGAGUUUCCCUAACUGGCUGUUUCGCAUCUCGUCCUGCCUCCCUUUUCUCAGCGAACUGAUUCUUUGUGAUUUGGAAGCAUGUGAUUGUCUUCCUCCAUUAGGGGCACUGCCAAAUUUAAGAAAUCUUGGUCUGUAUAACAUUCCCAACAUUAGGAAAAUUGGUAAGGAAUUCUAUGGAGAAGGUGGACCUUGUUUGAAACUAAGAGUACUGACUUUGACAUUGAUGGAGAAUUUGGUGGAGUGGUGGACAACAAAGUCAAGUGACGAAAGCCAAGAGUUUUUAAUCCCUAAUUUGCAUCAUUUGUCGGUAACUGACUGCCCAAAGUUGAAGUUCGUACCAUAUCCCCCAAGAAGUAUGGUUUGGCUUUUGGAAAAUAGCGAGACGGUUCUACCGGAACGAGGAUUUGGAAAGCUCUUAUCGCCCAUUCGUCCUUCUGAGGUGAUUAUAAAGGGGUGUAGUUUCUCUCAAGACAAGUGGGAUAGACUUCAGCACUUUCCCACCCUUGAGAAAUUUGAUUUAAACUCUGUCAGUGGCUUGAGGGCUUUGCCAGAGGUCAUGCAAUGCUUCACCUCACUUACUAGCCUAUAUUUAUUUUCGUUGAAGGGUCUGGAAACACUCCCGGAAAGGUUGGGCCACCUCGGUUCUCUAGAAAAAAUCAGCAUUUGUGAUUGCCCCAACCUGACAUAUUUUCCUGAAAGCAUGAAGAAUCUCACCGCUCUUAAAAAAUUGUUCUUAAAAGAGUGCAAAGGCUUGGAAGCAUUACCGGGAUGGUUGGGACAGUUGACUUGCCUAGAAGAAAUUCAUAUCGAGAAUAUCCCCAACCUGAAAUCUUUGCCUGAAAGCAUGAAGAACCUCACUGCUCUUAACAAACUGUACUUCAUAGAGUGCAAAGGCCUGGAAACAUUGCCGGGGUGGUUGGGACAGUUGACUUGUCUAGAAUAUAUUUUUAUCGAGGAUUUACCCAACCUGACAUCUUUGCCUGAAAGCAUGAAGAACCCCACCGCUCUUAAAAUGCUAACUUUGAUAAAGUGUUAUGCCCUCGAAACAUUACCUGAAUGUUUUGGACCGUUGACUUGCCUAGAGGAACUUAUCAUCAGCGUUUGCAACCUGACAUCUUUGCCUGAAAGCAUGAAGAACCUCACCGCCCUAAAAAGGUUGUCGUUGAGAUGGUGCAAAGGCCUGGAGAUAUUACCUGAUUGGUUGCGACAUCUGACCGCUCUAGAAGCACUUACAAUUGGCAAUUGCGGCAACUUGACAUCUGUACCUGAGAGCAUGAAGAACCUCGCCGCCCUUAAAAACUGA